UACGAAGGGGGCUAGCGUUGUUCGGAAUUACUGGGCGUAAAGCGUGCGCAGGCGGCUCAUCAAGUCAGAGGUGAAAGCCCAGGGCUCAACCCUGGAACUGCCUUUGAAACUGUUGGGCUUGAGUACGGGAGAGGUGAGUGGAAUUCCGAGUGUAGAGGUGAAAUUCGUAGAUAUUCGGAAGAACACCAGUGGCGAAGGCAGCUAACUAAGCGUAUAUUGACGCUGAUGCACGAAAGCGUGGGGAUCAAACAGG
rnacentral:rRNA from 1 species